ACACGGGGGGCGCAAGCGUUAUUCGGAAUUAUUGGGCGUAAAGGGCGCGUAGGCGGUCUUGUCGGUCAGAUGUGAAAGCCCAGGGCUCAACCCUGGACGUGCAUUUGAAACAGCAAGACUUGAGUACGGGAGAGGAAAGCGGAAUUCCUGGUGUAGAGGUGAAAUUCGUAGAUAUCAGGAGGAACACCGAUGGCGAAGGCAGCUUUCUGGACCGAUACUGACGCUGAGGCGCGAAGGCGUGGGUAGCGAACAGGAUUAGAAACCCGGGUAGUCC
rnacentral:rRNA from 1 species